UACGUAGGGUGCAAGCGUUAAUCGGAAUUACUGGGCGUAAAGCGUGCGCAGGCGGCUUUGCAAGACAGAUGUGAAAUCCCCGGGCUUAACCUGGGAACUGCAUUUGGGACUGCAAGGCUUGAGUGCGGCAGAGGAGACUGGAGUUCCUGGUGUAGCAGUGAAAUGCGUAGAUAUCAGGAGGAAUACCGAUGGCGAAGGCAGGUCUCUGGGCUGACACUGACGCUCAUGCACGAAAGCGUGGGGAGCAAACAGG
rnacentral:rRNA from 1 species